GACGUAGGGAGCGAGCGUUGUCCGGAAUUACUGGGCGUAAAGAGCUCGUAGGCGGGAGCGUACGUCUGAGAGGAAAUCUUCAGGCUCAACUUGGGGGCUUUCUCAGAUACGGCGCUUCUUGAGUGUAAGAGAGGAAAGCAGAAUUCCCGGUGUAGCGGUGAAAUGCGUAGAUAUCGGGAGGAAUACCAGUGGCGAAGGCGGCUUUCUGGCUUACUACUGACGCUGAGGAGCGAAAGCGUGGGGAGCGAACGGGG
rnacentral:rRNA from 1 species